rnacentral:rRNA from 1 species
CCUACGGGUGGCAGCAGUGAGGAAUAUUGGUCAAUGGACGCAAGUCUGAACCAGCCAUGCCGCGUGAAGGAAGACGGCCCUAUGAGUUGUAAACUGCUUUUGUACGAGGGUAAACGCAGACACGCGUACCUGUUUGAAAGUAUUUUAUGAAUAAGGAUCGGCUAACUCCGUGCCAGCAGCCGCGGUAAUACGGAGGAUCCAAGCGUUAUCCGGAUUUAUUGGGUUUAAAGGGUGCGUAGACGGGUGGUUAAGUCAGUGGUGAAAGUCUGCGGCUCAACUGUGGAAUUGCAAUUGAUACUGGUAGGCUUGAGAGUAGUUGAGGUAGGCGGAAUGUGUGGUGUAGCGGUGAAAUGCUUAGAGAUCAUACAGAACACCGAUUGCGAAGGCAGCUUACCAAGCUGCUUCUGACAUUGAGGCACGAAAGCGUGGGGAGCAAACAGGAUUAGAUACCCUAGUAGUC